AGCGACUCCGAUUCACGCGAUUAAUUUCUAUCAUGGAGCAAAUAAAGGAGAAUGAACGUCGCCUCAUGGAUGACGUCGCGACGUCAUCGAUAGCUCGGAGAACGUAGAAUCGGUCGGGGUGGGGCCUGUUGCUCACAGAAUCGUGAAUGUGCGUAACCCGUUCGUUCGGUUGAUCAGUGAGAAAACGCGCGUGGAAUGCUUUGGUCGUGUGGUAUCGCGCAGUCGCUCGCGCGAGUGUUUCAAUGUGAAUGAGGUUGUCUUAUUGUACGAGUGUCCCUUUACAGUAGUAUAGUAUAUAAGGUGAUCGGUAAUGAAUAAAUAAGCAAAAAAGUGUAUAGUAAGUGUAUAGUGUAAUAAAUAGAAGAGGCGAAAAUGGUGCGAAUUUCUGAAGCAAUCGCGGUGUUUGUCGUAUUCACGCUACAUCGAGCAAGCUCAAUAGAAGAAGAUACAGAUGCGACAAUUGAAGCUGAUGAUCUGCUUAUAAACGAAGGUGAUUUGUUGGAGAUCAAGUGCACUGGCUUUGAAAGGAUUUCCUUCAUUUAUCCUGAAGAUUUGAAUAAUGCGACCGCCGUAACGCACAUGCGAGAAGAAACCGAGAACGGCAGUCAUAUCUUCGUCUUUCAGCAUAAAACUGUUCAUGAGGAUACAGGAUUCUACGGUUGUCCUGGAAAUACUUUACAAGUUAUCUCACAUCCUGGCUUUACAACGUCUAAAAGCAUGGUAUAUGUUUACGUUCAAUCAAGUGCAAGUCCGUUCGUAAAAGCGGAGAGUUUUGCUUCAAGGCACGCGGCGGUCGGUAGAACAGCUGUGAUACCGUGCAGACCAACAUCGCCCAAUUUCACAGUUCAUCUUCUCUUCGACGAGUUUCCGGUGGAGCAAACGAAUUUCGAUCCGAGGAUUGGUUUUACAUUUACAAAUGUAACGCUGAAAGACGGCGGGUACUACAAAUGCAUUAUAUUUCAAGCCGAGGAGUCCCACGAUGUCAUUUACUUCCUCUCGGUGCAUUCCACGCCAGAAUUGAGCGCGCCAAAAAUUAUAGGGGAUACUAUGCGUCACGUAACGCGAGGCCAAACUCUACGCGUAAACUGCACCAUCACCGUUGAUGCAGACUUGACUUACAGUUUAAUUUGGAAUGCGCCACAGAAGAACAGCAGAAUUAGUAAUAACAGUUAUACAAAAAAAGCCGGCCCGACGGUGAAUGCAGUUACCGAAUUGGUUAUAGAAGAUGUUAAGGAUGAGGAUGAAGGAUGGUACGAAUGUAUUAUCAAGUCCUAUCAUGACUCGCGCAAAACAAAAAAGUACAUCAAGGUUCAUGACCCGGAGAACAAGUUUAUCAAUCUAACAGUCAAGGAUGCUCACAGGCAUUAUCACCGCCAAGAAGGUGAUAAUAUACAAUGGACUGUAUACGUGCAUGCCUAUCCAGAACCUAUCCUUAAAUGGUUAAAUACGAAAGGUGAGGAAAUCAUAGGAAUAGGGAAAUACGAAAUAAAAUCGACACCCAAUCAUACCACUCUGAAGAUUAAUCAUUUAAAUAUCGAAGAUAUGGGAGAAUAUUCUCUUCAGGCCACUAACCAAGACAAAUCCGAAAUGUUGAAUUUCACAUUAGAUGUAAUAGUGAAACCUGUGCCAAUGUUGAAAGUAAAACCUUAUUACGCUCCUAAUCAGACAGUAGAAAUCUCUUGCGACGUGGCAGCCUAUCCAACACCAAAUAUUACGUGGACUUUCUACAAGUGUCCCUAUUAUCCUUCUUACGAAGACGCGGACAAAAUAGAAUUGCAGAACGAAACGCAGAGCGGAAUGAACACCAGAUUUCGGUCAACGGUGAGGAUGACUAUCGAGAUGAGCGGCUAUCUUACUUGCACCGCGUGCAAUCUCAUUGGAUGCGAAUCUCACGUUGAAACUAUUUUGGUUUCGGAUGGCAACGGUGGUUUCGGUAUAAUCGAGCCAACAGACCCAGUGGUUGAAGGUGACGAUUUGACGGAACUGAUUUGCGCCGCCUCUAUUUACAAUUAUACGAAUAAUUUCGAAUGGAAAUAUUCCAGCGGUUCACCCAUUGAGUUAAGUAAUAGAAUAAUGAUCGAACAAGCCAAGACACGAUUCACUUAUCGUUCCAUCUUAAAAAUAAAAAAUGUAACAAAAGAGGACUCGACGAUGUAUACGUGCAGCAAUAAGGAAGAAAUGGAGUAUUUCCUUCAAGUACACGAUGCAGUACUGCCUCAAAUGAUGGAAACUAAUUUAAAUGGAACUGAAAUCACAGUCGAUAUUAGCACUCAGGGUCGUAAGGAGAUAAUACUCCAGUGCUUCGUAACUGGAAUGCCUAAACCAUUAGUUACUUGGUAUAGGGACGACACACCGUUAAAACUAGGCGAGCAAUUUAUGUGCAUCCGUCAUCGCCAAGAAUUGCAUAUUUAUUACCUUGAGGAUACUGAUAGCGGGAUAUACACGUGUAAAGCAAAGAAUCGAUUGGGAUCAGUUCAGGCCUCCAUAAAAAUAAUAGCGAAAGGAAAAGAACUUCCCAAGGAAUUGAUUAUACUGAUCAUCGUCUUACUGAUCACGGUAGUGGUGUUGGUCAUUUACUUCACGAUCAAGAUCCGCCGUGAAAAGACUAUGAGAAAAGAAUUAAUGGAAGCAGGAUUGAUGCAUUUCGAAGAAGGAGCAGUGGAAUGCUUGAAUCCCGAGUUAACGGUGGACGAUCAAGCUGAAUUGCUCCCUUACGAUAAGAAAUGGGAAUUUCCCCGUGAGAAAUUGAAAUUGGGGAAACAAUUGGGAAGCGGAGCUUUUGGCGUCGUUAUGAAGGCGGAAGCAGAAGGAAUUUGCGAGAACGAACCGGUUACGACUGUGGCUGUAAAAAUGGUUCGACGAACAACGGUGCCAACGUGUGUUCGUGCCCUUGCCAGCGAGCUGAAAAUUAUGGUGCAUCUUGGAAAGCAUUUGAACGUUGUUAAUCUUCUCGGUGCUUGCACGAAAAACAUUUCUAAACGUGAAUUAUUAGUGAUCGUAGAAUAUUGCCGAUUUGGGAAUUUGCACAAUUAUUUACUACGGCAUAGGGCUGACUUCAUCAACCAAAUUGUUCCAGCAACCGGCAAAUUCGAUCCUACUAUCGGUUUAGAUGUUUUAACCAGAUCUGUUAGUGUUAGCAGUAAUAACAGGAUAAAAUACGUGGCAUUGUCAUUUUCUCGCAGUCGUAGCGACGACUCGCCCGACUUCACCGAAUCGACGAAUUAUCAGACCUCUGCUACGGAUUCUCAAGGAGUUAGUAUGUCGCCAGAUGGCUGCGUUCUUAGCAACAAUUCCUCCCAACAGGGAUGGAGAUUUAAUUAUCGAGGUGAUUACAAGGAUUACAAUUUGAAGCCGAUCUGCACGCAGGAUUUAUUAUCCUGGGCGUUCCAAGUAGCGCGAGGAAUGGAGUACCUUAGCCAAAGAAAAGUGUUACACGGUGAUUUAGCCGCGAGAAACAUUUUAUUGGCAGAGAACAAUGUAGUGAAAAUCUGUGAUUUCGGUCUGGCAAAAACUAUGUACAAAGACAAUAAUUACAAAAAGAAAGGAGGUGGACUGUUGCCCAUAAAAUGGAUGGCCAUCGAGUCGAUUAGAGAUCGAAUUUUUUCGACUCAGUCAGAUAUUUGGUCAUUUGGCAUAGUUUUAUGGGAGUUUUUCACAUUGGCCAAAACUCCUUAUCCUGGAAUGGAAGCUGAGGUACAAUAUCAGAAGUUGAUCGAGGGAUACAGAUUAGAACAGCCAGAAUAUGCCACUUCCGAAGUAUAUGACAUAAUGUUACAAUGUUGGAAAGCCAAACCUACUCUACGCCCGAGCUUCACAGAACUGGUACAGAGUAUUGGUGAUUUGUUGGAGGAGAGUGUAAAAGCGCAUUACAUCAGUCUGAACGACCCUUACAUGGACAUGAACGUGUCAUUGACAGGAGAGGGUCGAAACGACUACUUGACAAUGCUUUCCGCACCCGAUCACGCGGCGCUUUCCUCACCUACUCACGAUUAUUCAAACUUGCCUGCCUCGAACUCAACCAAUUCAACGUACCUGUGCAUGAGUCCAACCAGUCAGAGUGGUUACGAUUCGGAAAUAUUUAGCCCAAGGCCAAACCAAGAAGGAACUCGCUUCGAGUUUCCGGUCACUUCCGAUUCAGAAGACGCCGUUGAAUUGUCGCCGAUGUUGAAGAAACCGGAAGAAGAGGAUCCCUAUCUGCAACCAAUAGACGUGCACGCGCGGCGAGCCGAGUUCAUUCGACAACGAGAGGCAAUGAAAAAUCAAUCGAUAGCUCAACCCAUCCCCAGUAGGGAUUUUGCAUAUUGCAAUGCUCCACAAAAUCUUCAGUUGAUAGAUCUGAAUGAGAAAAAUGAAAGAAACGAAAAGAAGGAAAGAAAUGAAAAGAACGAGAAAAGUUUUGAGGACAAUGAAACAUCGAAUAGUGGGAACACGUUGUCGAAGAAGGAUUUUAUACCGGGGAUUAUCAGGACGCAGGACAAUUACGUGAAUAUGCCGAAGCAAAAGAGCGACUUAAGAUGACCGCAAAAUAUCAUCGAAGUCGUGGCGGGGAACGAGGAUCAAAUCUACGGUGGCUGCAAACCGAGUUGAGUAUACGCGAUCUUUCACGGGAAGAGGAGGAAGAGGAAGAAGAAGAAGAAGAAGAAGAAGAAGAAGAAUGGAAUAAUUUCACAUACUUUUUGUAACUACCGUUGCUGACCUUGGUAUUUCAUGCAGCAACGCGACCUCGCCGAACACAUCACCAGGAUUCAAGCUACCCAUAUCAACCUCUUCUGCUUCACCUAGCAGACCUCCAGGGUGAGAGCUUUCUUCUCGAUUUUUUUCUGCUGCGCCCUCCGGAUGUUAAUCGCAAUAUCGUCGCCGACUUUUUCCACAACGGGCUCUUCGGUUAACCACUCGAUGUAUUCCAAGACGAGUCUCACUGCAGCCCGGAAAAGAUAGAUUCCUUUUAACCUAUUGACCUGCACCAUGAUGAUCGUUGUCGUCAAAAAUUGUCUAUUAUAAUAUACUGUCCUCUAUGCCCAGAUAUACGUGAUAUUACAAAAGUUAUUAUUUAUUUAUUAUUAAGUUAGUUUAUUGAAGGAUAGAUGUAAGAAUACAUAUGUAAGUGUAAGAUUUUCAGAAAUAUCUAGAAUAUUUAUUUGUACUUUGGUAGAGGAUACCUGUACCUAUUUGGAGAUUAAAAAAAGGAUUAAUUUAUUGCAAAGAUAAUGCAAUAAGACACAUACACAUGUAUUGUAUUAUAAUAUAAAUACUUGUAUAAUGUAAUAUAUAUAAUACUUACCCUCCUUGGAAUCAAUGACUUCCUCGCUAUUAUUUCAAUAAACGAUUCGCGAAGCGAAACUCUUCUACUGUAUGCAUGCAUCUCUGAUUUUCUUGAUUAAUCAGUUGUAACAUUAAUUCAAUGGAAACAAGAUCACAUUAUAAUUUUACAAACGCUGUCGCUCAAUUUUGUUUGAAUACUUACUAUCGGCAUACACAAAGAAGAUAAGUUCACGUUCAUUCGAUACGUGCGUGUUGUUUUAUCGAUAAACUUAUAAAGUGUGCCUUGCAACAGCGGUACGUACAUAUAAAAGAGAGUCAUAGUUAUAAUUCCAUUGAGGGUGUUUAAGCAAAUUUUUCAUCAUUUUAUAUAAUGAAUUUUAAACUUAUGUAAAGCGCCGUGCUUGGAUAUUUUAGAUACUUAUGCGUGUCAUAUGUACUCUAUUAUAUGUAUUUUCACAUUUCUCAUUGUAAUUUCUAUAAGUUGUAAAUUAAUUUAUAAUUUAACAGAAGCCCAAAGACAGAAACACGGAAUUAACGCAAACAUAAACUUGACUUCCCAAAAUGACGUACAAAGAGUAUUGAAAUAUCUCAAUGAUAUAAACUACUACUACUACUACUCAUCGUUAAUGAUCUCGCUGUCGAUGAGACAUUAAAGAAAAAGA